CCUACGGGAGGCAGCAGUGGGGAAUUUUGGACAAUGGACGAAAGUCUGAUCCAGCCAUGCCGCGUGCGGGAAGAAGGCCUUCGGGUUGUAAACCGCUUUUGUCAGGGAAGAAAUCCUUUGAGUUAAUACCUCGGGGGGAUGACGGUACCUGAAGAAUAAGCACCGGCUAACUACGUGCCAGCAGCCGCGGUAAUACGUAGGGUGCAAGCGUUAAUCGGAAUUACUGGGCGUAAAGCGUGCGCAGGCGGUUAUAUAAGACAGAGGUGAAAUCCCCGGGCUCAACCUGGGAACUGCCUUUGUGACUGUAUAGCUUGAGUGCGGCAGAGGGGGAUGGAAUUCCGCGUGUAGCAGUGAAAUGCGUAGAUAUGCGGAGGAACACCGAUGGCGAAGGCAAUCCCCUGGGCCUGCACUGACGCUCAUGCACGAAAGCGUGGGGAGCAAACAGGAUUAGAUACCCUGGUAGUCCACGCCCUAAACGAUGUCAACUGGUUGUUGGGAAGGUUCCUUCUCAGUAACGUAGCUAACGCGUGAAGUUGACCGCCUGGGGAGUACGGCCGCAAGGUUGAAACUCAAAGGAUUGACGGCUGAGAGNGCGAGACGACGACGAGGGAGAGG
rnacentral:rRNA from 1 species